CCUACGGGAGGCAGCAGUGGGGAAUAUUGCACAAUGGGGGAAACCCUGAUGCAGCGACGCCGCGUGAGCGAUGAAGUCUUUCGGUAUGUAAAGCUCUAUCAGCAGGGAAGAAAAUGACGGUACCUGACCAAGAAGCCCCGGCUAACUACGUGCCAGCAGCCGCGGUAAUACGUAGGGGGCAAGAGUUAUCCGGAUUUACUGGGUGUAAAGGGAGCGUAGACGGCUUUGUAAGUCAGAUGGGAAAGCCCGGGGCUCAACCCCGGGACUGCAUUUGAAACUGUGUGUCUGGAGAGUCGGAGAGGCAGGCGGAAUUCCUAGUGUAGCGGUGAAAUGCGUAGAUAUUAGGAGGAACACCGGUUGCGAAGGCGGCCUGCUGGACGAUAACUGACGUUGAGGCUCGAAAGCGUGGGGAGCAAACAGGAUUAGAUACCCGGGUAGUC
rnacentral:rRNA from 1 species